rnacentral:rRNA from 1 species
UUGGUUCGAAAGCUCCGGCGGUGCAGGAUGAGCCCGCGGCCUAUCAGCUAGUUGGUGAGGUAACGGCUCACCAAGGCGACGACGGGUAGCCGGCCUGAGAGGGCGACCGGCCACACUGGGACUGAGACACGGCCCAGACUCCUACGGGAGGCAGCAGUGGGGAAUAUUGCACAAUGGGCGAAAGCCUGAUGCAGCGACGCCGCGUGAGGGAUGACGGCCUUCGGGUUGUUAACCUCUUUCAGCAGGGAAGAAGCGAAAGUGACGGUACCUGCAGAAGAAGCGCCGGCUAACUACGUGCCAGCAGCCGCGGUAAUACGUAGGGCGCAAGCGUUGUCCGGAAUUAUUGGGCGUAAAGAGCUCGUAGGCGGCUUGUCACGUCGGUUGUGAAAGCCCGGGGCUUAACCCCGGGUCUGCAGUCGAUACGGGCAGGCUAGAGUUCGGUAGGGGAGAUCGGAAUUCCUGGUGUAGCGGUGAAAUGCGCAGAUAUCAGGAGGAACACCGGUGGCGAAGGCGGAUCUCUGGGCCGAUACUGACGCUGAGGAGCGAAAGCGUGGGGAGCGAACAGGAUUAGAUACCCUGGUAGUCCACGCCGUAAACGGUGGGCACUAGGUGUGGGCAACAUUGCACGUUGU